GGCAGCAGCUAAGAAUAUUCCGCAAUGGUCGAAAGACUGACGGAGCGACGCCGCGUGAAUGAUGAAGGCCGUGAGGUUGUAAAGUUCUUUUCUGGAGGGAGAAUAAGUGUUGUAGGGAAUGACAACAUGAUGACGUGAAUCCAGGAAUAAGCCCCGGCUAACUACGUGCCAGCAGCCGCGGUAACACGUAGGGGGCAAGCGUUGUUCGGAAUUAUUGGGCGUAAAGGGUGCGCAGGCGGCUUGGCAAGUCUGCUGUUAAAUGGUUGAGCUCAACUCAAUCAUGCGGUGGAAACUAUCAAGCUAGAAUCAACGAAGGGAUGCCGGAAUUCCAGGUGUAGGGGUGAAAUCUGUAGAUAUCUGGAAGAACACCAAUGGCGAAGGCAGGCAUCUGGCGACUGAUUGACGCUGAGGCACGAAGGUGAGGGGAGCAAACAGGUUUAGAUAUCCUGGUAGUCCGCACAGUAAACGAUGUGCACUAGGUGGCGGGUAGCAGUACUCGGUACCGAAGCAAACGCAUUAAGUGCACCGCCUGGGGAGUAUGCUCGCAAGGGUGAAACUCAAAGGAAUUGACGG
rnacentral:rRNA from 1 species